AACACACACAAAAAACAAUACAAAACUUAACAAUAAAAACACAAAACAUAGCAAUUAAAAACAAACUCUCUUUUCCAUUUCCAAUUUUAAAUUACUUAUUUUCUGGACUUCCUCAUACCUCCCUCUUUUGUAUUCCAAUCUACAUUGUUUGUCCAGCAGUUUCUUUUCCACUUUUUUAAUCCCGAUCUUUAAUUUAAUAAAACGUUAAGAUAUAUAACUUCAACUUUUUUAAACCUAAUCCUUGAUCUUAAUGUCAUAUAACUUUAAAUUUUUCCCUUUUAUUAUCAAAUUUCCAUUUCUUUAAACAUCUUUAAUCUUGAUCUUUAAUCUUAAUCUAUCCUUAACUUUAACCUGUACAGCUGGAAACCACUUGUUUUCAGUCCAACAUCACUCUAACAUUCCUUAAUUUUGCAGUGUUUCUGAAGAUAGUCUUUGAAUUUCUUCCAGUCUUCCUCCAUCGACUCUUCUCCCUGGUCACGGAUUCUACCAGUCAUUUCCGCCAAUUCCAUAUAGUCCAUAAGUUUCAUCUGCCAUUCCUCCAGCGUGGGAAGUUCUUGUGUCUUCCAAUACUUUGCGAUGAGUAUUCUUGCUGCUGUUGUUGCAUACAUAAAGAAAGUUCUAUCCUUUUUUAACACCAUUUGGCCUACUAUGCCCAGGAGAAAGGCCUCUGGUUUCUUAGGGAAGGUAUACUUAAAUACCUUUUUAAUUCAUUAUAUAUCAUUUCCCAGAAAGCCUUAAUCUUUGGGCACGUCCACCAAAGGUGAAAAAAUGUACCUUCAGUUUCU